GGGGGGUGUAAUGGCGAGCUGAUCAGCACGCCGCGUGAGCGAUGAAGGCCUUCGGGUCGUAAAGCUCUGUCCUCGGGGAGAUAAUGACGGUACUUGACGAGGAAGCCCCGGCUAACUACUUGCCAGCAGCCGCGGUAAUACUUAGGGGGCUAGCGUUAUCCGGAAUUACUGGGGGUAAAGGGUGCGUAGGUGGUUUCUUAAUUCAGAGGUGAAAGGCUACGGCUCAACCGUAUGAAGCCUUUGAAACUGGCAAACUUGAUUGCAUGAAAGGAAAGUGGAAUUCCUACUGUAGCGAUGAAAUGCGUACAUAUUAGGAGGAACACCAAUUGCGAAGGCGGCUCUCUGGACUGUAACUGACACUGAGGCACGAAAGCGUGGGGAGCAAACAAGAUUAAAUACCCUGGUAGUCCACCCCGUAAACAAUCAAUACUAACUGUCGGAGGUUACCCCCUUCUGUGGCGCAGCUAAAGCAUUAACUACUCCGCCUGGGAAGGACGCUCGCAAGAGUGAAACUCAAAUGAAUUGACGGUUGACGG
rnacentral:rRNA from 1 species